UACGUAGGUGGCAAGCGUUGUCCGGAAUUACUGGGCGUAAAGCGUGCGUAGACGGUAAUGUAAGUCAGAUGUGAAAGCCCCGGGCUCAACCUGGGAAUUGCAUUUGAGACUGCAUUGCUUGGGUGCGGAAGAGGGAAGCGGAAUUUCCGGUGUAGCGGUGAAAUGCGUAGAGAUGUGGAGGAACACCGAUGGCGAAGGCAGCCCCCUGGGAUGAGACUGACGCUCAUGUACGAAAGCGUGGGGAGCAAACAGG
rnacentral:rRNA from 1 species